rnacentral:rRNA from 1 species
UACGUAGGGUGCGAGCGUUAAUCGGAAUUACUGGGCGUAAAGCGUGCGCAGGCGGUUUUGUAAGUCUGUCGUGAAAUCCCCGGGCUCAACCUGGGAAUGGCGAUGGAGACUGCAAGGCUAGAAUCUGGCAGAGGGGGGUAGAAUUCCACGUGUAGCAGUGAAAUGCGUAGAUAUGUGGAGGAACACCGAUGGCGAAGGCAGCCCCCUGGGUCAAGAUUGACGCUCAUGCACGAAAGCGUGGGGAGCAAACAGG